rnacentral:rRNA from 1 species
GGAAUAUUGGACAAUGGGCGCAAGCCUGAUCCAGCCAUGCCGCGUGAGUGAUGAAGGCCUUAGGGUUGUAAAGCUCUUUCAGUGGGGAAGAUAAUGACGGUACCCACAGAAGAAGCCCCGGCUAACUUCGUGCCAGCAGCCGCGGUAAUACGAAGGGGGCUAGCGUUGUUCGGAUUUACUGGGCGUAAAGCGCACGUAGGCGGUUUGUUAAGUGAGAGGUGAAAUCCCAGAGCUCAACUCUGGAACUGCCUUUCAUACUGGCAAGCUAGAGUCCGGAAGAGGUAAGUGGAACUCCUAGUGUAGAGGUGGAAUUCGUAGAUAUUAGGAAGAACACCAGUGGCGAAGGCGGCUUACUGGUCCGGAACUGACGCUGAGGUGCGAAAGCGUGGGGAGCAAACA